rnacentral:rRNA from 1 species
CGAGCGAGCUUGCCUAGAUGAUUUUAGUGCUUGCACUAAAUGAAACUAGAUACAAGCGAGCGGCGGACGGGUGAGUAACACGUGGGUAACCUGCCCAAGAGACUGGGAUAACACCUGGAAACAGAUGCUAAUACCGGAUAACAACACUAGACGCAUGUCUAGAGUUUGAAAGAUGGUUCUGCUAUCACUCUUGGAUGGACCUGCGGUGCAUUAGCUAGUUGGUAAGGUAACGGCUUACCAAGGCAAUGAUGCAUAGCCGAGUUGAGAGACUGAUCGGCCACAUUGGGACUGAGACACGGCCCAAACUCCUACGGGAGGCAGCAGUAGGGAAUCUUCCACAAUGGACGAAAGUCUGAUGGAGCAACGCCGCGUGAGUGAAGAAGGGUUUCGGCUCGUAAAGCUCUGUUGGUAGUGAAGAAAGAUAGAGGUAGUAACUGGCCUUUAUUUGACGGUAAUUACUUAGAAAGUCACGGCUAACUACGUGCCAGCAGCCGCGGUAAUACGUAGGUGGCAAGCGUUGUCCGGAUUUAUUGGGCGUAAAGCGAGUGCAGGCGGUUCAAUAAGUCUGAUGUGAAAGCCUUCGGCUCAACCGGAGAAUUGCAUCAGAAACUGUUGAACUUGAGUGCAGAAGAGGAGAGUGGAACUCCAUGUGUAGCGGUGGAAUGCGUAGAUAUAUGGAAGAACACCAGUGGCGAAGGCGGCUCUCUGGUCUGCAACUGACGCUGAGGCUCGAAAGCAUGGGUAGCGAACAGGAUUAGAUACCCUGGUAGUCCAUGCCGUAAACGAUGAGUGCUAAGUGUUGGGAGGUUUCCGCCUCUCAGUGCUGCAGCUAACGC